GACGAACUGUCCUAACGUUGUUCGGAAUCACUGGGCUUAAAGGGCGCGUAGGCGGUCCGACAAGUCAGGGGUGAAAUCCUGCAGCUUAACUGCAGAAGUGCCUUUGAUACUGUCGGUCUGGAGGGAGAUAGGGGUGUGCGGAACUCACAGUGGAGCGGUGAAAUGCGUUGAUAUUGUGAGGAACGCCGGAGGCGAAAGCGGCGCACUGGAUCUCUUCUGACGCUGAGGCGCGAAAGCUAGGGGAGCAAACGGG
rnacentral:rRNA from 1 species